rnacentral:rRNA from 1 species
GCACCUCGAUGUCGGCUCAUCACAUCCUGGGGCUGAAGUAGGUCCCAAGGGUAUGGCUGUUCGCCAUUUAAAGUGGUACGCGAGCUGGGUUUAGAACGUCGUGAGACAGUUCGGUCCCUAUCUGCCGUGGGCGCUGGAGAACUGAGGGGGGCUGCUCCUAGUACGAGAGGACCGGAGUGGACGCAUCACUGGUGUUCGGGUUGUCAUGCCAAUGGCACUGCCCGGUAGCUAAAUGCGGAAGAGAUAAGUGCUGAAAGCAUCUAAGCACGAAACUUGCCCCGAGAUGAGUUCUCCCUGACYCYUURAGRGUCCUGAAGGAACGUUGAAGACGACGACGUUGAUAGGCCGGGUGUGUAAGCGCAGCGAUGCGUUGAGCUAACCGGUACUAAUGAACCGUGAGGCUUAACCUU